rnacentral:tRNA from 1 species
UCCCUGGUGGCUCAGUGGUAAAGAAUCUGCCUGCAAUGCAGGAGAGCCAGGUUCCAUCCCUGGGUUGGGAA